GACGAACGCUGGCGGCGUGCCUAAUACAUGCAAGUCGAACGCUUUUUCUUUCACCGGAGCUUGCUCCACCGAAAGAAAAAGAGAGGCGAACGGGUGAGUAACACGUGGGUAACCUGCCCAUCAGAAGGGGAUAACACUUGGAAACAGGUGCUAAUACCGUAUAACACUAUUUUCCGCAUGGAAGAAAGUUGAAAGGCGCUUUUGCGUCACUGAUGGAUGGACUCGCGGUGCAUUAGCUGGUUGGUGAGGUAACGGCUCACCAAGGCAACGAUGCAUAGCCGACCUGAGAGGGUGAUCGGCCACACUGGGCCUGAGACACGGCCCAGACUCCUAUGGGAGGCAGCAGUAGGGAAUCUUCGGCAAUGGACGAAAGUCUGACCGAGCAACGCCGCGUGAGUGAAGAAGGUUUUCGGAUCGUAAAACUCUGUUGUUAGAGAAGAACAAGGAUGAGAGUAAAAUGUUCAUCCCUUGACGGUAUCUAACCAGAAAGCCACGGCUAACUACGUGCCAGCCGCCGCCGUAA
rnacentral:rRNA from 1 species